rnacentral:rRNA from 1 species
GAGCUCGUAGGUGGUUUGUCGCGUUGUUCGUGAAAUCUCACGGCUUAACUGUGAGCGUGCGGGCGAUACGGGCAGACUUGAGUACUGCAGGGGAGACUGGAAUUCCUGGUGUAGCGGUGGAAUGCGCAGAUAUCAGGAGGAACACCGGUGGCGAAGGCGGGUCUCUGGGCAGUAACUGACGCUGAGGAGCGAAAGCGUGGGGAGCGAACAGGAUUAGAUACCCUGGUAGUCCACGCCGUAAACGGUGGGUACUAGGUGUGGGUUUCCUUCCUUGGGAUCCGUGCCGUAGCUAACGCAUUAAGUACCCCGCCUGGGGAGUACGGCCGCAAGGCUAAAACUCAAAGAAAUUGACGGGGGCCCGCACAAGCGGCGGAGCAUGUGGAUUAAUUCGAUGCAACGCGAAGAACCUUACCUGGGUUUGACAUGCACAGGACGCCGGCAGAGAUGUCGGUUCCCUUGUGGCCUGUGUGCAGGUGGUGCAUGGCUGUCGUCAGCUCGUGUCGUGAGAUGUUGGGUUAAGUCCCGCAACGAGCGCAACCCUUGUCUCAUGUUGCCAGCGGGUAAUGCCGGGGACUCGUGAGAGACUGCCGGGGUCAACUCGGAGGAAGGUGGGGAUGACGUCAAGUCAUCAUGCCCCUUAUGUCCAGGGCUUCACACAUGCUACAAUGGCCGGUACAAAGGGCUGCGAUGCCGCGAGGUUAAGCGAAUCCUUUUAAAGCCGGUCUCAGUUCGGAUCGGGGUCUGCAACUCGACCCCGUGAAGUCGGAGUCGCUAGUAAUCGCAGAUCAGCAACGCU